CAGAGUGCGGGCUCCCCGCGAGCCCUAUCUCCCACCCGUGUCUACCGUUACCGCGUUGCUUUGGCGGGCCCACUGGGGCCUCGUCCUCGGUCGCUGGGGGGCUCCCGUCCCCGGGCCCGUGCCCGCCGAAGCGCCUCUGAACCCCGUGUGAACAGUGAGUCUGAGUCUCUAUUGAAUUAUUA
rnacentral:misc_RNA from 1 species